rnacentral:rRNA from 1 species
GAUGAACGCUAGCGGCAGGCUUAAUACAUGCAAGUCGAGGGGGCAGCAAUGUCACCGGCGAACGGGUGCGUAACACGUAUGCAACCUACCUAUAUCAGGGGGAUAGCCCGAGGAAACUCGGAUUAAUACCGCAUAACAUUAGGAUCGGCAUCGAUUUUAAUUGAAAGAUUUAUUGGAUAUAGAUGGGCAUGCGUAGGAUUAGCUAGUUGGUAAGGUAACGGCUUACCAAGGCUACGAUCCUUAGGGGCUCUGAGAGGAGUAUCCCCCACACUGGCACUGGGAUACGGGCCAGACUCCUACGGGAGGCAGCAGUAGGGAAUAGUGGGCAAUGGGCGAAAGCUUGACCCAGCCAUGCCGCGUGCGGGAAGACGGCCCUCUGGGUUGUAAACUGCUUUUGAAUGGGAAGAAAGGUAUGCUUGCGAGCGUAAUUGACGGUACCAUUAGAAUAAGCCACGGCUAACUACGUGCCAGCCGCCGCAGUAA